UCUCCGGCUCCGUCGACCAGUCCGACCAGAGCUUCCUCGACGACGACCAGGUCGCCAGCGGCUGGGUGCUCACCUGCCACGCCUACCCCACCUCCGACGUCGUCAUCGAGACCCACAAGGAGGAGGAGCUCACCGCUUAAUUAUAUUUAUAUAUUUAAGCUCCAUCGUCACCAUGCAUCACAUCAACACACCUAAAUGCUACUAUCUAGUAUCUGCCUGCCUUGCAAGAGAUCGAUCCAUCUCCAUCGAGUUGACAGAUUAAAACCUGAGAAAUUUCUAGCUUCCUUGUAUCAUCCAUCCAUCAGUCAUGUCAAUGUCACCAUGAGACCAAGCAAGCAUCGGCAGCAGCAGGGCCAUCUGUUACCGUACAUUCUUGGUCUCUGUACCAUUCAUUUUUGCUGCGGAUGCAUGAUCGACUUCAUUCUCAUCAAGUAAUUAAUUAAUAAUGUUUUUUUCUCUUUGUACCAUUAUCAAUAUAUACUGUACUAUGGAUCUGUUUGGACGAGUUAAAUUUUAGCAUCCGCUAUCAGCACUCAUCGUAUCUUUGCUAAAAGUUUUGAGUUUUGACUAAAAUUCAGCCCAUCCCACUAGCCAGUACUUGUGUUUGGAUGGACUAGUACUAAACUUUAGUACUUUUGAGCAUUAGCACAUGGAUCCAACACCCUCUGUAUGUGUACGUAUGUAUGUACCAGACUGGAGGAUGUAUUACAGAAAUGCAUGCAGCUUUGAGUACUCCUAUGUGCGUAAUUGACGAUGCAUGGAUGAAUGAAGAUUGAAGCAUAAGUUUAAUCCAAUGCGUAUUUCUUUUCCUGCAGUUAAGCUCUCACCGGUUGCUAUUUGUGCUAUAUAUGUUUUCCUUCAAGAUUGGAUAUGUGUGGACUAGCCAGGCUAAUUUGUUCAGACCACCAAGAGCAGUAAAAUCUGUGUGAUGGGAUAUAGAUGUGUAUUAUGUAUAUUAUACAUAUACAGCUAAAAUACGGUAUCUUAUUUAAAUUUACUUUUUUGAAAUAUUUCUUCAAAUUAAUUUAUUUCUAUUGGAUAAAGAAUAAUAGGCAAAGACCGGCCACGCAACCAUAAUAUAUAUAAAACUGUCUCGCCCAUACCCGACCCCUUCUCUCUUCCAACCCCAACCCCAAACAGCCAAACCGACAUACAUGGAUACACCAUAAUAUUUCUCUCCAUUUUGUCUUACCAUACAUCCAUAUCAAAAUUUGAGAUCCAUUAAUUACUCCUACUGUACCCAUCUUCCUCCUGUACGUUGCCAUUGGCCGGAUCCUAUUGAGAAAACACAAACUCUCACAUCAUCACCUGAAAACGGGGCAAGGUUCAAUAAGCAUACACAACGACGAUAAUGUUCCUUUUGGAAUUUAAUUUUUUGGGGGUCGGUUUUAGCGGCAUUCCCUAUCUGUGUUAAAAGGAAACUUGGGGCUGCAUGCUAACCUAUCAAAAGAUGCGGAUGGCGGCACUAAGAGCAACUUCAGCAGUUGCCCCUAAAUUAGACCCUCCAAAUGCUAAAUUGGGGCUGCCUCUAUUUUUUAGAGACUUCUAAAUUUGCUUCAACUCCAGCAAUAGCUCUCAAUUGUAACUUACAAGAGGGCUCCCUAGAGACCCCCUAGGAAUAGAGAGUGGAGAAGGGUAUUUGAAGGCCUUCCCAAAAUAGAGGGUCUAGUAGAGGGUCUACUGGAGUGCAUCUUUUUGUUUCAUCAUCUAAACUUGAGAUAGCAAUAUGUUUAGAGGGUCCGCUGGAGUUGCUCUAAUAAGAAAGGAUAGCCGCCGUUGGGAGGUUCCGAUAAGGGGCUAACACUAUGAGAAGGGAUAAAUCAUAGGGAAGAAAUGGAAGAUGGGACGAAUAGAAGGAAAGGAAGAGAAAAAGCAAUCACCGGAUCCUAAUAUGAUGGCUGAAGCAGUUGGUCGAUCGGAAAAUGGCAAUUUUCAAAUUUGAAGCAGUUGAAAUACAUCAUAGCCCAUAACUUUGCUUGUAAUCGUUCAGGUCACUCGAUCACUCCAAUCAGAUGCUAGCAUAAGAGAAAAACCAAUGCCAAAAAAAAGGUGGUGGGAAAUUAUUGCUAGACAUUCCAAAUGAAGGGUCCAUUAUACCUGAUCGGAGGCUGCCUGACCCGAUGAACCCAAACCGACCCGCCCAAAAAGAACCAGACCCUAUCCGACCCGAAAAGUGCAUGGCCGGGCACGGGCCUACUUUUUUUGACCUAAACAGAAAUUCGAGCCGGGCUCAGGCCGCAAUUUUAGCCCGUGGGCCGGCCGACGACUCGAAAAAAAUCCUUCAUUCUCUGCAGCCUACGGAAUCCUAACGGCCCAGCCCAACAAAGCACACAGCAGCCCCACCUCCUCCCCUGGCCGCCGGGCGCACACAGCAGGCAAGCCGCCCCCUCCCCUCCCCACACCGGUAAGCCCCUGCCCUCCCUAUCUCCUUUGCACGGCGCGGCGUCCAGGCUGUGAGGUGACCAAGCGGCGUGGCGCGAGCGGCGGCCAGGCAGCGUGGAGGCCCGGCUGCGUGGCGGCCAAGGAUGCCCUCAUCGAGACAAGAAGAAGAUCUAAGUACUUCAGCCCCGGGCCAGCCCGCGGGCUGUCGAGCCACGCAUCGGGCGAGCACGGGCCAAGAUUUGCAGCCCAAUGCUUGGGUCGGGUCGGGCUUAGGCCAGCAGAAAUAAGUCAGGUCCCUUUCGGCCCGGCCUGAACCCAGCUCGACAUGAGAUAUGAUUUGGUCCAGGGUCCAUUUAUGUACAAUGGUGAUUGGUGAUUUCAGAUCUCUGGCCAGAAUGGCAUGAAGAUACACUCUAAAGUAGUUGACGACAACCACACAGAACGAACUGUGUGUGUAUAUAUAUAUAUAUAUGAGUUUUUUCUACACUCGCGUGUAGCUACUUUCAUCAUCAGUAUACCACCAUGAGUAUGUCCGCAUACUCAUUUAUCACUUUUAGUAUGUUUAUAUACUAAUUUUAAGAUACUUCAUAGUGAUAUGUACAACAAAUUUUAAAAGCAUCCCUAUUUUUUAAAUAUAUCAUGAUUAUAUAUUAGUACUAGUAUAUAAAAAUAAGUAUGUCCAUAUAUUCCAUGUAUGGCCAGAUACUUAAAGUAUAUAUACCAUCACAAAUGGUCUAGUAUGAUUACAUACACCUCGUACGUACCUUUCGUUGGGUCAGAUACGCCCUACGUUACGAGAUAUAUAUUAUAUAUAGGAGUAGCUAUGAGCGCGUGUAAAAUAAAUUAUAUAUAUAUAAUCACGUAGCUAGCUCGUGGCCUCCACGCGCUCAUCACCCAACCAGUGGCUGGCUGGCACACGGUCUAUCUAUUUUCUAUAGAUACCGUAGUCCGUAGUAGUGAGAAUGAAUUGUUCUUAUUUCUCUGUCAGUAAAAUUCAUGGUCGAUCAGAAUUCUUGAGGACGUUUGGAAUUUAGCGAGUAGACAGAGGCCCUGCUAAUUUUCCACCAUCAUAUCGAUGGAUGCAGACCAGACAGACAGCCCCCGCCACCGCCAAUGCAAGAAGAUAAGCCUAGCUCCACGCUGCACCCACCCCAUCCCCUCAUUUCACUUUGAGCUUCCAGCUGCUAGCUAGCUCCAGCUCCAAGAGCAGCCCCUCUUGCAUUGCUAGCUACGCUACGCGCCAUGGCCACCGUCCUGAGCAGCCUCCGCGCGCCGGCCAGCUUCUUCCCCGGCCUCCGCGCGGCCGCCCCGGCGCCCGCCACCGUCGCGGUGCCCGCCGCCAAGCAGCAGCAGGUCGCUCGCGGCGCCAGGCUGCGCGCGCAGGCCACCUACAACGUGAAGCUCAUCACGCCCGACGGCGAGGUGGAGCUGCAGGUGCCCGACGACGUGUACAUCCUGGACCAGGCCGAGGAGGAAGGGAUCGACCUGCCCUACUCCUGCCGCGCGGGGUCCUGCUCCUCCUGCGCCGGCAAGGUCGUCUCCGGCAGCGUCGACCAGUCCGACCAGAGCUUCCUGGACGACGACCAGGUCGCCGGCGGCUGGGUGCUCACCUGCGCCGCCUACCCCACCUCCGACGUCGUCAUCGAGACCCACAAGGAGGAGGAGCUCACCUCCUAGAUCUUUCUGAUGCCUGGCGUCGUAAUACCACAUGCAUGCUACUACUAUGCUUGCUUAUUAUUAUUAUUAUUAUCUCCGUUGAUUUCUUGGUUACGUGUUGAUUACCGUCGUGCU
rnacentral:lncRNA from 1 species